rnacentral:rRNA from 1 species
UACGUAGGGUGCGAGCGUUGUCCGGAAUUACUGGGCGUAAAGAGCUCGUAGGCGGCUUGUCGCGUUGUCCGUGAAAAUUUACCGCUCAACGGUGAACUUGCGGGCGAUACGGGCAGGCUAGAGUACUGCAGGGGAGACUGGAAUUCCUGGUGUAGCGGUGAAAUGCGCAGAUAUCAGGAGGAACACCGGUGGCGAAGGCGGCUCUCUAGUACGGUACUGACGCUGAGACGCGAAAGCGUGGGGAGCGAACAGG